AAGGCAGAACUGAUUGGAUGUGAGAUGCAGUGGAUAAGAGGGAAGUGGCACGCAAUUCUGCUUUUCAAAGAGUAUCCUAAUUAAAUUUAGUAACUGCAACUCCAACUGCAGCUGGAGAACAAGAGGAAACGAAACAUUUCUCAGAAAAUUUAAAGGCUAGCCCCAGAAAAUCCAUCCUUGGUAGAAGGCGUCCCUGAGCAGGUGCUGGAGGUGCUCAGUGUGGGGACAGCUCGAGGACCUGAGUGCCACAGGACCAGGACGUGCUCCUCUCUCCCUCCCAUCUCUCUGUCACCUCAGAACAGAGGGGGGCAUUAAUGGCACCAGUAAAGCACAGAAAGAAAAGAUUUUUCCUGAAGACAUUCUUGGAUAUUGCUUGGUGCAAAUGCUGAGUCGCCACAGUGGUGUCAGGAUGGAAUUGCACUGAUGUGUCUGAGAAAAUGGGCUUGGGCAACUGUUUUCUUUAGAUACAGGUGUCGUCAUCUACAUCUGCAGGACUCAAGUCAAAAUUUUGCCGUCAAUAUUUUAUAGUCUUCAUAAAAACUGAGGAAUUUACGUAUCAGAUUGUAGUAACAAGAGGAGCAUAUUAAGGAUCAAAGCAAAGCCUGAGGAUGAUAGGUGCAUAAAAAUACGUUUGUUAUCCAUUGCAGGACUUUUACAGGACAGAUGGCUUCUCAAAUUCUGCAUCCAGGCAGAUAAGGAAAAGGUGGCACACUUGCAGCUGGCAGGUGAGGCCUCACCAGGUGAAUACUGGUGCCCACUGAGCAGCCCACAGAAUUCAAAGUAGCCUUCAAUGUAAGUGCAACCAGUGUGACCUCACUGCUCCAGAAACAGACUCCAAACAGUUGAUUGUCUCAUUCUUCUGAAGGCACAGAUAAUGAAAAGGGAACAUAAUGUAGAUGGGAAUGGCUGAAGUGAGCCACGCAUCAUAGUGAUGAGGUUAAAGUCCGUGAGCAAAAACCAUGUGCAUUUGGUGGAUGAUGGUUCUGCAAAGAUGACUGACAGGCAAAAACCACAAGUACAGCAGCAUGGCACAGCAGAAACCAGCUUCAUUGGAGAUAGCAGAUGGACAGAACACUAGCAUUGCUGCUGUGAGAUUGUUACCUUUCAGGAUUUGUUCUGGACUGUGUGUCUGCGGGGGAGCACAAAAGCCUGCUGGUUCCACAGGGGUGUUAUUUGCUGGUCCAUGGUAUGUCUCAUUUUCUUUAAUUUCUGAUGGGCCUCCACCUGCACUGCUGCUGCUGAGUCAUCUGUGUUUGUCUGAGAUAUUUUUGGUGUGCAGAGUUAGGCAGGUAGGUGUGCAUUGUUCUGCCUCAUAUGCUUGCCAUGUUCUUCAACUGGCCCUCCAACUCUCAGCUUUUGGGGCACUGUAGAAUCCCCAUGGGGACAGAGGCAAGCAUUGUCUGGGCAGCUUCUGCCACAAUAACCAUUGUCCUUGCUGGUGAACAGGUGAUGCUCAAGCACAACAUGUGCACAGACAAUGGGCAGCAUUCUGAGCUCAGGAAAAUGAUCACUGACACGGGCUGAUGUCUGAAGGAUGGGUCACUAGAACUAUCAGGGUUCAUUGCCCCCCUUUUAUUUUAUCUGUCAUCUUUCUGCAUUAGGAAUGUUCAGGAGGGGUUCAAGUAACCUGAUAUAACAUCUGCAACACUGCUAUCACCAAGAAAUCAUUCAUUCAGAUAAAAAGGCUGUCUCAAGAUACACUGUCUCAAGAGACCAUGUGUAAAUUAGACCAAGUUAUAAAAAACCCCUAAAACUAACAAGUACACUGGCUAGAUAGUUCAGACUUUCCAGAAGAGCAGAAAUAAGGGGGGAAAAUUGUAGGGUUUAUAGAAAAAUGCAUUUGAGCUGAAGUAAGGCCUUCUCCCCAGUCUUUUAGCCAAUCUCUAGAGACUUUGUGUAAUUAUUAGAGUUCCCUUGGGAAGGAUAUGGACUUAGGUGAUAGCAGAAAUCUUGUACAAUGAAUUCUCCAGGAGUCCCUUUCUACAUUAUGUCCCAUUACUCUGCCUCCAAAGCCCUGAAAAUUCGUACACCCUCCAACUGCUGUGAAUUGUCAUUUUCCAUGCCUUCCUUCACAUCUGGGAGCUGUUUCUUCUGACUCAGCAAUAGAUAGCAGAGAAGGGAUGGACUCUGGGAAUUCAGAGAUAUUAUGUGCACAAAGUCCUUUUCUGAUUGUGAAGAGAACCACUGGUAAACCCUCUCUGUGCUCCCAGACUGGGUCUUACACUGAAAAACUUCAAAAUCUGAAUUACACAGAGGCUAUGCAGCACUAUGGGUAAGUACUUUCGCCUUUCAUGUCUUAUUAUGUUGUUAAUUAGUUAAUGUUUGUAAAGCACUUUGAAGAUGAAAAGCCCUAUAUAAGUUCUAAGUGUUAUUAUCUCUAGAGACCUAGGUUCAAUUCAAAGGUGCUUAAUUACAUAUGCCAUAAAUUAGACUUAAUGAGUUGUAGAAUCAUAUAUUUUAUGCAACGCAUGCAGAUUUCUCAGACAGAGCUGGGUCUUAUGGUCUGCUGCAGUACUUCUUUAGGUAUUCAGAGUUGUUAAGAAAAUUGCACAAAAAUAGACCAGAUAAUUUCCAAUAAUGAUUGGAUUGCAUUUCAGUACCAUUCAGGUCCUGUGGAGCAAACCACUGGGAGCUUGGCUCAGCUGUAUCUAGGGAUUUUCCAGUAACCAAAUUGCUGAAGAUAACACUUUUGGGGUUAAUUUAAUUAUGAUUUACACAUAAUUCUAAUUCAUACUUCUGUAUUUUGGCUUAGCAGAAGGGUGCUAAGAGGUAUUGGUAUAACUCUUGUCCUUCCAGUAAGACCCUGAAAUGUCCCAUUAGAGGGCCACUUCAUGCUGGGUUAUGUUCACAAGCAUAAAAAAAUAACUUCCCUUCUCUAGAGAUACCACUGUGUAAUUAACAACAAGCCAUUACGAGCGAGUAGCCUGCAAAAAGGGGAAGCCACAGUUAUAGGAAAAUGUGGUUUCAUUGGCUUGCAGAGCUGAGAAUUUCCAUGUUUUGUAACUUACAUAAUUUGUGGCCAGAAAGCUGCAGACUUUGCCCUGCUCCAGCCCCAGCAGCAGCGCAGAUGCCCAUGGAGAGCAGGUGGCUUCUCCUGGCUCUUGCCCAGCCAAGAUAGUUCAGAGACACACAAGACCAGCAGCAUCACCCACCCCACCUAGAGGGGCUCUCAUGUGUUCCUGCAGCAAGAUAUUUCCCUUUAACCUUGGGCCUUCCACGGGCAUAUAGAGGGAGGCAGGAUUUAUGCUGCGUAUAAAUAUGUUAGGAGUGAUUGUGUUCGUUAGUACAACACAAGUAGAUUGGAAAAACUAUUAGCAAUUUACUAUGAGUGUCACUAACAGACUUACUUGAAAGUAUUUAUCCCAAAGUGAAAGUCAUUUGAUUUGGUUAGUGUUUAUUGCAAGCAUAUGCAGACUGUCUUCCAGGGAAAAAUGUAUUUUUGAGUGCCAGACAAGUGAAACUGGUGAGCCCGCAGUCCCGAGAAAGCAUCUGGAACCGCAGCCAAAAGGGGAACAAUGUUUCUGACAUUCUUUCAAGACAUGUGUUUGAAGCAUGGGUUCCCAUCACUUUCAGAGCCACUUGCAGGCCUUUUUCUUUAUAUAGAUUUAGACAAGUCAACGUGGGCCUAUAUUCAGCGUGAUAAAUGCCUCUGUGAUUUCUUCCUCAUCCAUUCUCUACUGUUAUUUUUAUGUUUAUUUUGAACAGAAGUGUGUUCCUUAAAUGGGCCAGAGGACAGUUCCUGACAGUGUUUCUCACUUACUUUUCCAUAUUCCCAAAAAAUUGAUCUAGUCUUACACCAUAUUACUGGGGUGCAUCUCUUUCAGAAACAAGACAUGAUUUUGAUUAAUACUUUUCAUAUACUUUAACAAAUAGGAACUUCACAUGAAUGCUGAUUUGAGAUCCAGGCUGUGGUUAAACGUUUUAAUAGUGCAGCAAACUUAUCAACAAACCUUUCCUUCCCUACCCUACCCCCUUCCCUUUUUACAAUGAACAGAUUUUUAUCCAACUAACUUGUGACUAGGGGAUUUUUACAAGCAGGUUUAGGAACUUGUCAGAUAUUUGAAAAUUUGAGUCUGAAAACAAACUAGAAAAAUCUCAUAACUUGAAAGCCCAAUAAUUUAUGCCGUAUGUAUUUACUGGGUAAAUUUUUUGACUCUCUGAAAUACAUACAGGACUCUAUUCUCUGACCUAACUAUCAGCACUUAACUAGCAGUUACCAGUCUGAUGCCUUUUUUAAUACUUCAAGACACCACUUAGCUGCACGACACUCUUUAUUUCCAAAUUCCUGUAGUCUUUUGCCAAAAGGCGAUAAGAAUUUUCAUAUUGGUUUUAUUUAAUCUUGACAUUGCCAGCCUGUCUCCUUUCCUCCUCUGUUUCCAAGAUGUCAGUGACUGACACUCUCUGGCAGCGAUAAUGCUAUUGCUCAAACAUGAGAGAAGAAUCUCUCUGAGCGAGUUGUGAGCUUGAGCAGCUGCACUCAAGUGCCUGUUGCAGAGACAUCAGGCAGCAGGGACAGCUGUGCAGCAGAGAGCACCUUGACACGUCCAGUGCAGAACUCUGGUCACUUGGUGGUUGUGUCUGGCUGGGAGUUUUACAAAAACUAGCCAUGCUUUUGGUUUGUGGCUUCCUCAGACAUUUUCCUGUGUUAAGUCCCUAAUUUAACAAAGCACUGAUGUUUCUCCUCUGAAAAGCUGUGACUGUGGAAAUAUUGCCCCUGCAGGAGGUCUGGAAGACUUCUGGACCAUUACUGCUUCUGACUUCCUCUCUCUGUGAGCAAAGGGUUAUCACAGGUCAACUGCAGAGUGUAAAGUGUGGCAGCAAAUUGUGGGGCAAACAGGAAAGCAAGCUAAUGCUGUCUACUGUUUUCACAACAAAAAAAGUCAGAAAUAUCAUAAACACUGAAAGACAUCUUGAAUAAAGAAACACUUUACUUUGGUGGACCCAGUCUUCAGGGGUACAUUCAGGUACCUGUGAGCCAGCAAGGCACACUCAGGUAUAGACAGACGUACCCCAGUCAUGUGGCGCCCAUGAAUAGAUCCAGUGAGCCUGUGCAGCUGUGUUUUGAUCAGCAAAGAGAUUUCCUGGCAUCAAGAACUGAAAUCACCUUGUGGGUAUGACAAGCACAUCUAAGUAUGUAGCAAGUGAAAAUCAAGGGUUUCUGUAAGGAAGAAGUAAGGACACCUACCACAAAAAAUUAAAGCUGCAUCAACUCUUCCUCCACCCAAGACUCACUCUAUGGUAAGUGUAAUGAAAAUAUUCUUUUGAAACACUUUGACAUCUUCUGACAUCUGCCUCAUAUUCAGGUAUAAAUUUCCCAGGUCUAGUUAUCAGUUCUCUGUAGAAAAGUGUGAGCAUGUGUUCCACAUGGACAAGAAAGGUCUCAAAUUCCUCUUCUGUUGACUGGUCGAUGUCUAUCAGCUGAUGAAGAUCUCUGUGACUACAGCCUUCCUUAAAUGUCAUAGCCCAGACAUAACUGCUUUCGUCCAACAAUCUUGCAUAAAACAGACCAAAAUAACACUUGGACACUUUGAUUAGCAUCUACCAUAUAAAUUGAAUUAAACCUGUCUUUAAUUCUAACAAAAAA